rnacentral:lncRNA from 1 species
CGGCCGCCGCGGCUCGAAGGCCGUGGGGACCCCAGGCCCCAGGGGAAAAGAAAGAGAAGAGAGAAGAGAGGGCGUCAGCGAGGGCCGGGGCGCGGGCGGCCGGCACAGAGAGAGAAACAACAGCCUCACACCCAAAUCGGUUCAAUUGGCUUUGGCGGAGACUAUGCGGGCCGGGCCCGCCCGCCAGCCGGCCAGCGCCUGCGCUUUAAGCGGGCUGCGGCUCGGAUGCCCUGGGCACCCCACGCGCGGGCUCUGUGACUCUGCAUUUUGGUCUUUUUGUUUCGUCUUAAGAAACCAAACGGAACAGAAAGGAAAGGAAAUUGAAAAGAAACGGAAUUUUUUUUUCUACUGGUUUAAGGCUUUAAAAACAUACAACAGCAGCAUUUAAACAAACCUAACAACAAUAUCUUUUAGGGUUUUUUUUUUAUAUAUUUCUUUUUGCUUUUUUUUUUUUUUUGCUUUUGUUUUUAAAAAAGAAGAUAGCAUACCACGGAAUUCAGGCAACUUACAUCAACAA